rnacentral:rRNA from 1 species
GACGAACGCUGGCGGCGUGCUUAACACAUGCAAGUCGAGCGAUGAAGUUCCUUCGGGAACGGAUUAGCGGCGGACGGGUGAGUAACACGUGGGUAACCUGCCUCAUAGAGGGGAAUAGCCUUUCGAAAGGAAGAUUAAUACCGCAUAAGAUUGUAGUUUCGCAUGAAACAGCAAUUAAAGGAGUAAUCCGCUAUGAGAUGGACCCGCGUCGCAUUAGCUAGUUGGUGAGGUAACGGCUUACCAAGGCGACGAUGCGUAGCCGACCUGAGAGGGUGAUCGGCCACAUUGGGACUGAGACACGGCCCAGACUCCUACGGGAGGCAGCAGUGGGGAAUAUUGCACAAUGGGGGAAACCCUGAUGCAGCAACGCCGCAUGAGUGAUGACGGUCUUCGGAUUGUAAAGCUCUGUCUUCAGGGACGAUAAUGACGGUACCUGAGGAGGAAGCCACGGCUAACUACGUGCCAGCAGCCGCGGUAA